rnacentral:lncRNA from 1 species
AUUUUGUAAUAUAUUCAUGAGACUCAAUUAUUGUGGCUCACAUAGUUAAGCAUGACUUGCUUUAGUUAUGUAAAAUUUUUAAUUUAUUUUAUAUGUAUGGUAUCUUGCCCACAUGUAUGUGUACCACAUGCAUGCCUGGUAUACACAGAAACUAGAAGAUGGCAUCAGAUCCCCUGGAACUAGAGUUACAGAUGGGUGUGAGCUAUUAUGUGUGUGCUAAGACUAGAACCCAGAUCCUCCAGCAAAGCAGCCCAGGCUCCUAACUUCUGAGACAUCUUUCCAGCCUGUAUUUUAAAAGAUAAAAGAAAAUAACAUUCAAAAUGCUUGUUUCAGUUUUCUGUCCCAUAUUUGUUUUUAACAGUAAGCAUUUAACAUUAUAUCUCAUAGCCCAUGUGUAUAUUGAUAUCUGACCCCUCUCAGGGCUUGUGGUCAUUGCUAUUCUCUUAUUAUUUUUUUUCCUCUAAAGAUUUGUUUUAGUUUUAUGUGUAUAUGUGUGUUUGUGUGAACACAUGGCACAUGUGUGCAGAUUCUGACAAAAGUCAAGCAAGAGGUCCAGGUCCCCUGGAGCUGGUGUUAUAGGCAAUUGUAAGCCACUCUGUGUGGGUGCCGGGAAUUGAACUCUGGUCUUCUGCAGAAGUGCCCUUAGCCUGUAAGCCCUUUCUUAUUUCUGAAGAUGCAGUUGGAGUAAUUUCGUGCAGUGGGUUUCCCUGCUGCGUGAGCCUGGGCCACUGCCUCUGCUUCUUAGCAAUUACAUUAUCCAUAGUCCUGGCCAUUAGCAUGGCCAUCCUCACAUUCUUUCUCCUUUUAUCUGAUGUCCUGUUAAAUAAUUAGCAACAAUUAUGAUAGAUGUAAUGACUACCUAAGUUCCCCCUUCCUCACAAAAGGAGGAUGUUUCUUUUGAUUUUAACUUUAUCCUUAUUUAGAAGACAUUUUAGGAGUUUGAUUAUAUUUGUUUGGGGAAGUGGAAUGAUUAAUUGAUGUGAGGAUGUCAGUAGCCCCAAUGUCAUUUCAUCUGCCCUUCACAAACAUUGCAACCCUGCUGUCAAUCAUUCUCCUUCCUUGGCAGGGAGUGGGGAUAAAUUACUGGGUUGAUAGGACUGGGCUCAAGAUUUGAUUUUAAUUCUUUUUUGAAACCAUACCCAGCUCUUAGGGUCCAUUAAUUGCUUUCUGCUUUCAACACACUGCGCUUUAUACUCUCAUUCCCUUAAAUUAGGGCUCUUUUGCUAGAUGACUCUGGGGUCCAUUUUGAGGUGGCUCCAAUCCCAGAAGAUUUCUUCUGGAUCCUCUCUAACGGUCACUGGCUUGUAGUUUAGAUCUCUGUUCUAAGCACUCUAGCAACCUCGUGCUUAAUGUCUCUUACUAUAGCACCACUAUAUGAAGAGCAAACUUUGUCACCAACUUCCAGCAUGCUAAGAACUAGCUUCUGGGGGGACCUAAGAAACUGUUACUAAGAACACCUUCUUUUUGUGGGGGGGGGUCACUGGGAGUGACAACUGUACUUUAGAGAGGGGGCUUUCAGUGGGAGAGAUAACCUUGACUUUGCUCAGUGUGACUUUCCUGUCUUAUUAGAGCCUCCACUCAGUGAACAGGUUAGGGCUCUAGAAUGAAAGAAACUCCCUGCUACUUGGCUGAAACAGCUAAGACUUUUAGCUUCUGUGACCAUAAACUGGAGUUGAUAGAAGGGCUCUGGAGGCCUUUCUCACUUGCUCCCUCUCUUCACUGUAACUGAGAGGAGCCCUCCCAGGCACAGAGGUCUACAGCAGACCCGUCCUUGAGAAUCUGACUGACAGAGGGUGUGGCCUAGGAUUUUUGGACAUGGACUGUAGUGGUUACCAAAAUGUAGCUGAUUCUUUGACUCUCUUUCUUCACUUGCUGCAUGCCAGCAGCACACAUCUAUAGCCUCUAAGUGGUUAUUCCUUAAAAUAGAUCUCACCACUCAGUGGUUUGCCUGAGGCACCUCAGCUUAGAGUUGCUCAAGCCACAAAUCAGUGAGAUUUGUCAUGUUACAUUUUAUUUUUGGUAAAAAAAAUAUUGGUUCAACUUUUUAUAAAAGUACACCAAAGCCAUUUGCUAAAUAAACCACUCUUUUCCCAAAAGCAGCGUAUUAAUAAUGAGUGCUUACCUUCUAUAUAUGCAGUAAUAUAGUCAGUAUUCAAUAUUAUUUUUGAAAGAUACUCAGAAUAACAUCUUAUUUAUAGUAAAUCCACCCCAAUGCUGCUCUAUAUUCUUCACAUCAUUUUAGAUGAUAGUUUUCAUUCAGAUGUCACAAAGGGGCAUUUCAGUUUUGCUAAUAUAUUUUAUAUCACAGAAACCUCUAAUGCCAGUUAUUAAAGGGAGGGUAAUGUGCAAACCAUCUCACGAGUGUGAUGCUUCUCAUAAGUACAUGUAUGAAUGCUGUGCUAGUUUUGUCGAGAAGAACAUUUUUUUUCAAUUGUAUGUUUAUUGUGUCAUCAGUGGCAAUGAUUUUGAGAGGAAAUUUCUAUUUUUUCUUUCUUACAGCAUGAUAGUUCUCUUAGAUUUUUUUCAGUAGUCACAACAUAAUUGCACACUGCUAAUGAUAAGUAUUCAGCCUGUUAGCUUUGUGGUUCCUUUGCUCUCAAUGGGAAGAAAAUUAAUAACACAUCUGGAAGGAGAGCCAGAAGCUGGCGUGGUAACUUAUGAGAGGGAAGCAUGCUGCCUCUGGUGCUAAACCACAUCAGAAAGGCUAACGGUGCUGAGCGGGGUUUCCUUGGGACGUUUGGAAUCCGGCCUCUACAGUUUAUUACUUGUGUGUUAAUGCCAGUGCUUUGUUUCAGUUUUGUGUGUUGUUUAAGGAGUUAUUAAAUAAAGGAUAAGUGAAUGAAAGGCAGGGUGUAUUGACAAAAGACCAAGGAAAUGCUUUCAGUACUUAGAUUCCCCACUUUCUUUAAUCUUUCUUGGGAGCAUUUCCAGAAUGGCACUUUCUGUACUCUGUGUUCUCAUUUCAGUUCUUCCCAUAGUGCUUUAUCCAUUUACAGAUUCCACUGAAAGGGAAAUUGUUUUUAAAAAGAAUAUAUUAAAAAGGAUCAAAUGAAAUAUUGCCAGUGCCAAGGUUACAUGAUAAGGUCCAUGCUUCUAUAAUAUUAAUAAAAAUAAUUUACUUUUAUAUAUGAAUAUAUUUGAUUCUUAAAAAUACAGAGUUUUUUAAUUUCAAUAUUUUAAAAUACUUGUGAAACUUUUAUACUACAGAAAACAAGGUAAGUUUAUAACGAUAUGAGUAUUAUUGUUUCAGAUGUCUGGUUUAGAUAUAUUUCUUUGAGAAAGGGGGAUUCUAGGAUAUCAUAUGAUUCUACCAACUUUAGACAGAUUUAUUUCCCAAACUAGAGAAUAUAUUACAAUAGUUUUUUUUUUUAUUUAAUCAAAAGUACUUUCUUGCUGGCUGAGCUGGUACACACAUUUAAUGUAAGCACUCAGAAGGAGGAAAGUAGAUCUCUGUGAGUUUAAGGCCACCCUGGUGUAUAUAGUAAGUUCCAAGAUAGUGAAGGUUACAGAGUGAAUACAUACCCUGGCUCAAAACAAAUGACAACC